UGAGCUUGUCAGAUACGGUUUUAUUAGCCAGAUUGACAAAGAUGAAAUAACCAGUUUAAUAGAAGAUCACCUAACACGGGUGCGAAAUGGUCUUUCUGUAUCAAUGGCUUCAGGCCGAAAUGGUGUGGGAGGCAGUGUUACAGGUCAAGACACUCUGCGUGUAAUGCAUCCCCCUACGAUCACAACAGCAACUAGAUAACACCCAUGAUUCUCCCACACUCAGGCACAGCCCGUGUACCACACACUGUGAACUUAAUGAAAAGAUUUUGUUUAUUAAAGUCUUAAUUCUGCAAUAGAAUUGUUAGAUAUUUUUUUAUUAUUAUCAGUUAUUAAUGAUGAUAAUGGUAAUAAUGAUAUUCAUUACUAUUAUUAUUAUCGUUAUUGUUAUUUUUGUUAUCAUUUCUUUUCCUUUUUAUUAGGUGCAUUUAGGGGUAGUGAAAAAAGAGACCAAACACAACUUUAUUGUUUUUUGUGCAGUACACUAAGUUGAAAAUGUGAAUAUUUAUAUAUAUAUAUAUCUGAGUUUGUUGUUUGGUCGUGAAAGCAUUUGGGAGAUGUCAGGUGCACACGGGAGUUUGUCAUGUUAUAUGGAAUAUGUCGUAGAGAAUGAUACUUUGACAUGUUAACAUGAGCUCCCAGGUAUUGUGAUAAGAGAAGACUAUGAGGGCUCAUUUGUGCUUAAUGGGUCGAAGGUUCUUCCUUCCUCGCUCUCCCCUCGUCUUAUUCAGUGCCCGAGCUGAUAUCCAGCGAGGUAACAGAGAGGCUCGUAGUGUAGUCUGUCUGUCCUAGGCAAGGAUGGCUGGAUGAGGAGACGGCUGUAUUGUGUACUCUUUAGAUACUUUUUUUAGGGGGGAGUUGAUUGUAAUGACACCAUGUUUAAGAUUUUUUUUUUUUCUUCCUAUAUUGUUGUUCUUUGAGAAUAUUGUACGAGAACCAGCAGUGAUUGAUUAAUUUUGAGUAUAUGGAUCCCUAAGAAGUUUAUUUGUUUUGCUCCUGACUUAUGAAGCAUUCAUUGUGAUUAGUAUUGUCCACCGUAUUUUUUUAUAUUGGAAAGGUAUUUUAUGGUGAAUCGUAUAUUUUUCAUGAAAAGGACAUAUCAAUGAAGCAAAAGGAUCAAUGGAAAGCUUGGUAAAUAAUGCUGAUCUGUCUCGUCCUUACAUGUAGUACAUUUAUACUUUUGAAGUAUGUGCGGCAGUAUUGUAGUGUCUCAUUCAAAUGUGCCUGGGGAAAACUAUUGCAAGGAUCUGAAAAUCCUUUCUUGUGUUGUUUUUGUUUCUGUUUUAUUUUACAGUUAUCUUUAUUAUAUUAUUAUUAUUAUUAUUAAUAUUUUUUUAUAAGAAUGUAAUGAAUAGGUGUUUCAUUUUUACCCAGAUACAACCUACAUGCUCUUUGUAAUUUGCAGUUUUUUGGGAACCAAUGGAGGUAGGGCUCCUCUUUAGGCUCUUGAGCAACAUCAUCGUGUUUGGCAAAUCAUCCAAGGCAUUAAUGCUUCAUUGCUUUGACUUUCAGUUUGUAAGCUGCAUUGCAUAGAUAUUCUGUCCCAAUUUCAGGACACUUGGAAGACUGGUGAGAGAAAAAAGAUUAAUUGAGUAAUACGGUGUUUGGAGAAAGGCAUUGAUUAAAGUGUGUUUUAGAUAGUAGUGUCUUUAAAAUCAUAUUUGUUUUAAAUUACUUAAAGUCUGGCAUCUUGUAAACUUUCACUGAUAAUACAAUACCAAGUUUUUGCCUUACAGAAUUGAAAUUGUGCUUUGGAGUAUUUGUGAAUAAGACAUUUCAUUGGGUAAUUUCAUGUGCUUAUGGUAAGACCAGCUAUAUAAUAGUCUUAUACACAAAGAAUAGUUCUUUUUUUCUUUACACUUGUUCCCUGCAGAUUAUGCAUGGUACAUAGUUUUGUACACUUAUUACUAUGCAUGGUACAUCAGUAUUAUCAUGUUUAGCUGCAGAGCUUAUCGGUCAGUUGCUUCUGAUCUAACACGACAACUUGUUAUCCUUUGUGUUAAUGUGACAUACCUUACCAUACUCUGUUUUAUAGACUAUAUCUGUUUGAGGGGGAUCCUAAGCCUGUUCAGUUACAGUUCUUAUAGAAUGAAAUGUAUAGAAUGACAUGGAGUAAUUUCUUGGUCACUUGAAUAUUAGUUGAUAUUAACAACAUGUGGUUUACUUCUGUUACUGUGUGUGCACCUUCUGUGUCCAUACUUUUUUGUAAUGUUAAGGUUAUCUUGAUUUGUAAAUAUUGGCAUGAUAAGUUCUAGGUUGGAGCUUGUUAAGACACUUUUCUACUAGAAGGUUUAGGUGUUAUGUCCAAAACUGAACACCUGCUUGUAAGUCUUUGCUUAUGGGCUAGUGAUUGUCUAGUUGAGCAAGAAAUAAUGUUUUGUAUAAUAUCAAAAAUUUGGUUAUUGGUUGAUAACAUUGAGUGAUACCUGUUUCAGUUGCUCUUCAUUUUUUUUAUAAAGUUAAGUGAAGACUGCAUCAUUUGAAACAGACUUGAUCUUGUGCUAUGUAGCACCUAUUAUAAGUAUACCAUCAUUGUCAAAAGGAAUCUUUGAAAAGUGUCUUUUCUUGUAGGGUUUCUAAAAAGGAAUAGAAGGGAAGGACUUGUGAUUGUCAUUUAUCAUGUGAAUUUCUUAUGGAUUUUUUUUCUUGGUCUUAAUUUGACGCUGCUUAUCACAUGAUCUGGUAAGCUGGCUACAAUUAAGGACACUGGGAAAAUAAAUUCAUAUGUGAAGUAACAUAUGAUGCAAAAGCAUGCACCAGGAGAAUAAGCAAAGGUAUUCAGCCACCUACCAAGGCUGUCAGUACCUAAUCUAGUCUAGUGGCACACACCCCAGAAGAAACCCAAAAGGAUGAUAGCUGCGGUGCUACAAAUGGCCUGUUUGUUUCAUGUUGCAUGAAAGGAAAAACACCAGAAGUUGUACUUUUGUAGUGUUUUACAAGAGCCACCAGUUCUUAGUUGGUUGUCUGUGACAGCGGUAAUUUGUAAAUGUUCCAAGUAAUUUGUUCAUAGUAUGCAAAACAGAGAGAGGUUGUUAAAUUGGAAUACAGGGAAUGAGAUGUUGGUUCUGAAAGAUACUUGGAAACCACAGAGGAAGGUUUGCUGAAGUGAUCCUAUGUAUCCUGAAGUUCACCUCGGACAGUUACUUGGUCAUUAUUUGUAUUGGUGAAUGGCUGACGGCAUGUAUGGUUGUGUGUAAGGUUUGUGUGGUUGUAUAUAUACACUAUAUAUACAUAAUGUAUAUAUAUUGUAUAUGUAUUGGGAGGGGGGUUAUCUUUUGAUUACUUGCUCAAAUGAUGGAUACAUGUCACUACACUAUAACCUCAAUGUUUCAUAUAUAGUUUUUACUCUGUUGUGCCUUUUAAUGAGGAACACUUUUUAUUUUUAAAUGAUUAUUGGUAUCCAAAAGAUUUUAUUUUGACUGCUAAAAUGUCAUUAUGAGUGUCUGUAGGUAACUUUUCAACCAAAGAUUUGUGUCUAAAGUUGUUACUCAAUAUAAAUCACCCACAUGAGUUUACAGUAGUGAACUAUUUUGGGUGUUAUUUGAUACUCCUUUUUUAUUAAAGAAAUCUUUAGGGGGUGAAUGAUAAUUAAAUGUAGAGAGAUAUUGCACAACAUUUCAUGGAUAGAAAUUUUUUGAGAGUUCUAGGUGUACCUUUUGCUGAUGCACCUUGGAGAGCUUGUUAUAAUCAGUUAGCUAUAUGGCAUUGUAACAUUCUGUAAAAAAAAAAAUAUGAUAUAUACCUUGCUUGGUUAACUCAAGGGUACUAUAAUGAGGUUGGUGUAAAGCAUUUGUUUCCUCUUCUCUCUCCAACAAUUACUACAUUGCAGUUCAGUUAGAGAAUGUGCAGUCUUCUUGUACAGUUACCUAAUGGUUUAGCACAGGAUGUAUUGGAAUCAUCAAGGUGUUUGUAACCAGAAAAGAGGUUUUGUAUCUAUAUAAUCUGACAAUGAACACUUGUGUAUUGGGUCAGAACUUGAUGAUCAUUGUGUAACACUCCAUUAGGAAUGGUAUGUAAUGAUUUAUUAUUCUGCAAAAUUAUUUUGUUCAUUGACAUCCAAUAACAAAUGAAUAUUUUUCAGCACA